rnacentral:rRNA from 1 species
UACGUAGGGGGCUAGCGUUGUCCGGAUUUAUUGGGCGUAAAGAGCGUGUAGGCGGCCAGAUAGGUCUGCUGUGAAAACUCGAGGCUCAACCUCGAGCUGUCGGCGGAAACCAUUUGGCUAGAGUCCGGAAGAGGAGACUGGAAUUCCUGGUGUAGCGGUGAAAUGCGCAGAUAUCAGGAGGAACACCGGUGGCGAAGGCGGGUCUCUGGGCAGUAACUGACGCUGAGGAGCGAAAGCGUGGGGAGCGAACAGG